GUUGUAUAGUCAAGUAAUUAAGUGCAUGUGGUGGAUGCCUUGGCAGUCAGAGGCGAUGAAAGACGUGAUAGCCUGCGAAAAGCUCCGGGGAGGCGGCAAAUAUCCUUUGAUCCGGAGAUGUCUGAAUGGGGGAACCCACCUACUUUAAGGUAGGUAUUGCAACAUGAAUACAUAGUGUUGCAAGGCGAACGAGGGGAAGUGAAACAUCUCAGUACCCUUAGGAAAAGAAAUCAAUUGAGAUUCCCUCAGUAGCGGCGAGCGAACGGGGAUCAGCCCAUUAAGUUAUGUGUGUUUUAGUGGAACGCUCUGGGAAGUGCGAACGUAGAGGGUGAUAUUCCCGUACACGAAAGGGCACACAUAAUGAUGACGAGUAGGGCGAGGCACGUGAAACCUUGUCUGAAUAUGGGGGGACCAUCCUCCAAGGCUAAAUACUCCUGACUGACCGAUAGUGAACCAGUACCGUGAGGGAAAGGCGAAAAGAACCCCUGUGAGGGGAGUGAAAUAGAUCCUGAAACCGCAUGCAUACAAGCAGUGGGAGCACCUUCGUGGUGUGACUGCGUACCUUUUGUAUAAUGGGUCAGCGACUUAUAUUCAGUAGCAAGGUUAACCGUAUAGGGGAGCCGUAGAGAAAUCGAGUCUUAAUAGGGCGUUUAGUUGCUGGGUAUAGACCCGAAACCAGGCGAUCUAUCCAUGAGCAGGUUGAAGGUUGGGUAACACUAACUGGAGGACCGAACCCACUGUCGUUGAAAAGCCAGGGGAUGACUUGUGGAUAGGGGUGAAAGGCUAAUCAAGCCUGGUGAUAGCUGGUUCUCCCCGAAAGCUAUUUAGGUAGCGCCUCGGACGAAUACCAUAGGGGGUAGAGCACUGUUUCGGCUAGGGGGUCAUCCCGACUUACCAAACCGAUGCAAACUCCGAAUACCUAUGAGUACUAUCCGGGAGACAGACUGCGGGUGCUAACGUCCGUAGUCAAGAGGAAAACAAUCCAGACCGCCAGCUAAGGCCCCAAAAUCAUAGUUAAGUGGGAAACGAUGUGGGAAGGCAUAGACAGCUAGGAGGUUGGCUUAGAAGCAGCCACCCUUUAAAGAAAGCGUAAUAGCUCACUAGUCGAGUCGGCCUGCGCGGAAGAUGUAACGGGGCUAAAACUAUGUGCCGAAGCUGCGGAUNNNNNNNNNNNNNNNNNNNNNNNNNNNNNNNNNNNNNNNNNNNNNNNNNNNNNNNNNNNNNNNNNNNNNNNNNNNNNNNNAUGCUGGAGGUAUCAGAAGUGCGAAUGCUGACGUGAGUAACGACAAAACGGGUGAAAAACCCGUUCGCCGAAAGACCAAGGGUUCCAGUCCAACGUUAAUCGGGGCUGGGUGAGUCGACCCCUAAGGCGAGGCCGAAAGGCGUAGUCGAUGGGAAAAUGGUUAAUAUUCCAUUACUUCUGUGUAAUGCGAUGAGAGGACGGAGAAGGCUAAAUCAGCCUGGCGUUGGUUGUCCAGGUGAAAGGAUGUAGGCAUGUAUCUUAGGCAAAUCCGGGGUACUCUAUGCUGAGAUCUGAUAGCAAGCUGUACUUGUACAGCGAAGUGGUUGAUGCCAUGCUUCCAGGAAAAGUCUCUAAGCUUCAGUUACACAGGAAUCGUACCCGAAACCGACACAGGUGGUCAGGUCGAGUAGACCAAGGCGCUUGAGAGAACUCUGCUGAAGGAACUAGGCAAAAUGGUACCGUAACUUCGGGAGAAGGUACGCUGUUGUUGGUGAUGGAACUCGCUUCCUGAGCUGACGACAGCCGCAGAAACCAGGCCGCUGCAACUGUUUAUUAAAAACAUAGCACUCUGCAAACACGAAAGUGGACGUAUAGGGUGUGAUGCCUGCCCGGUGCUGGAAGGUUAAUUGAUGGGGUUAGCGUAAGCGAAGCUCUUGAUCGAAGCCCCAGUAAACGGCGGCCGUAACUAUAACGGUCCUAAGGUAGCGAAAUUCCUUGUCGGGUAAGUUCCGACCUGCACGAAUGGCAUAAUGAUGGCGGCGCUGUCUCCAGCAGAGGCUCAGUGAAAUCGAAAUCGCUGUGAAGAUGCAGUGUACCCGCGGCUAGACGGAAAGACCCCGUGAACCUUUACUGCAGCUUGACACUGAACUUUGACCUUACUUGUGUAGGAUAGGUGGGAGGCUUUGAAGCUGGAACGCUAGUUCCAGUGGAGCCGUCCUUGAAAUACCACCCUGGUAAUGUUGAGGUUCUAACUCUGUCCCGUGAUCCGGGACGAGGACCGUGUCUGGUGGGUAGUUUGACUGGGGCGGUCUCCUCCUAAAGAGUAACGGAGGAGUACGAAGGUGCGCUCAGCGUGGUCGGAAAUCACGCGUAGAGUAUAAAGGCAAAAGCGCGCUUAACUGCGAGACCCACAAGUCGAGCAGGUACGAAAGUAGGUCUUAGUGAUCCGGUGGUUCUGUAUGGAAGGGCCAUCGCUCAACGGAUAAAAGGUACUCUGGGGAUAACAGGCUGAUACCGCCCAAGAGUUCAUAUCGACGGCGGUGUUUGGCACCUCGAUGUCGGCUCAUCUCAUCCUGGGGCUGAAGCAGGUCCCAAGGGUAUGGCUGUUCGCCAUUUAAAGAGGUACGCGAGCUGGGUUUAGAACGUCGUGAGACAGUUCGGUCCCUAUCUACCGUGGGCGCUGGAAAUUUGAGAGGAUCUGCUCCUAGUACGAGAGGACCAGAGUGGACGAACCUCUGGUGUACCGGUUGUGACGCCAGUCGCAUCGCCGGGUAGCUAUGUUCGGAAGGGAUAACCGCUGAAAGCAUCUAAGCGGGAAGCCUACCUCAAGAUAAGAUUUCCCUAGGACUUUAUGUCCUCUAAAGAGCCGUUCGAGACUAGGACGUUGAUAGGUUGGAUGUGGAAGCAUAGUGAUAUGUGAAGCUGACCAAUACUAAUUGCUCGUGAGGCUUGACUAUACAACACCCAAGCAGUUG
rnacentral:rRNA from 1 species